rnacentral:tRNA from 1 species
GCGGGUGUAGCUCAAUGGUAGAGUUCUGGCCUUCCAAGCCAGCUGUAAGGGUUCGAUCCCCUUCACCCGCUCCA